UGCGUAGGCGGUAUCGUAUGUCGGAUGUGAAAUCUCAACUUUCAUGGUUGAAACUGCAUUCGAAACUGCGGAACUAGAGUACAGGAGAGGUGAGCGGAAUUCUUGGUGUAGCGGUGAAAUGCGUAGAUAUCAAGAGGAACGCCGGUGGCGAAGGCGGCUCACUGGAACGAUACUGACGCUGAGGCACGAAAGCUGGGGGAGCAAACAGGAUUAGAUACCCUGGUAGUCC
rnacentral:rRNA from 1 species